rnacentral:snRNA from 1 species
CAGCAAAUUGGAACAAUACAGAGAUUAACAUGGCUGCUGUGCAAGGAUGACACACAAAUUCGUGAAGCAUUCCAUAUUUAA